rnacentral:lncRNA from 1 species
GGGAUAUUUUCUUCCAUAAAUAUUCUAUCGGUAUUGGAAUCGUGACGACCUAUGCUUUGGACAAGUGCAACUGCAACCCUCUCCGCAUCAAGGCUGUAAAUACUCUCUCACCUUCCCUGGAGCUUUCCCCGCUCACUAUGACAGGAUUCUUUCCUCACCCUCGACAGGUACACCGAGAUUCAGAUCAUAUCUCUGGUCGUCAUUCUGGUUGAAUAGUAACAAGUGAAACAGGGAACACACCUCCUCGCCAUAUUUCUUUGUCAGAUGUAAAAUUACCUGUCUACGGGCGAGAUAUCCCCAUUAUAUCCACCUAGGUACGUCUAUCUCCCUAAUAAUUUCCUCAUUUUCUAAACAUUCUUUCCUUUUUCUCAAUUACUGAUACUCUACCACCCAUUUAACCGAACGGUGGACUCUCACGAUUGUCUUCCGAUGCUGCAGUAGGACGUUGUUAUUCUAGGUAAUUUAUUAUUUAUAACCUAUUCGCUUUCUCCCGGUUAUAAACUUGUAUUCCAAUAUCAUCGUUGCAGGGGUACCUGUUAGACGAACAUCGUCAAAGUUGUCAGAUUCGAUUGCGAUAAAUCGCGACGAAAAUUAGGCUGAUCUAAUUCGAUGUUAUCGGACGUAAUAGGUUAGCCGCAGCCGUGUACCGUAACGGAGGAACGAGGAGACCCGUUUUUCGUGCGGAGUUUCAGGUAUCGUAAGUAAAGCAGGCCUCGGGGCUGAGUUAUCUUAUCUCAUCUCCGCCUUCGACGAGUAUUUAGAAAAUGUUUCGUGCCCCUUGUCGCAAUAUUGACCGCGGCGGAGGUUAACGGCCGGGGCUUAGCGCG